AAUCAGUGGUUUAACACUAAUUUCUAAUCAGAUCCUACAGAAAGGAACAGCCCGCACGGCAGCUGUACUUUUCCCAGGGUUAAUUACCUUUCACUGCUCUCUGCUAAUGAGUCAGCUGUUCCUGUCAGCGCACACAGCCCUGGUUCAUCUGGAGCCCUCGCUGUGGACAAACAGCGGAUGACAGUCCUAUUUACAUACGGGGGCGUUUGUGGUGCAAAGAUUUCCAAAGCAUUUUUUUUUUUUUUUUUUUGGAAAUCCCUUAACUUUCAUGUGUUUCUAUGCUAAAAAUAUUCUUACAAAUAAGAUUCCACUUGGUCACCUCUUCUUUUCUCCCCCCGCCACUGGCUUCACCACCAGAAGAUGGAAAAUGCCAAGUCCUUGAAAGAGGCAAACUUCAUGGCCUCCACCGAAAGCUUUGUCUUCCUGAUUCCUCGGCACUGCAACAAUGACCCUGUAGGAAUCAGGCAAGACUCAAAAGUGGGCUACCUCCUUCCCUGGUAAAAAGAUGCAUUUUGGAAAAUUAAUUCGCGCGUAGAAAAUAAUCUAAGGUAGAAGGACACAAAACAUAUCUUAGAUUUAUUUGUACAUGAAAAGGGAAUUAGUAAAUUGAGUUUCUGAAAAAAAAUUAGACUUGAAAACUAUGCUCUCACCUAAAAUAUCUAGGUCAUCAUGGGAAUGUGUAUAUAUAUUUAUUUAUAUGAUGUGUAUGUGUAUAUAUGUGUGUGUCUAUAUACACGCAUAUGACUUAUUAUCCAAUUAAUAGCUCUGCCACCCAGAUAACUGUUCUGCCCUCUAUCCCACGGUGCAGACACGUGUGCCCUGGCAUGUUUUUGAACAUUGUGGCCCAGAAGUGUACACACCUCUUCCCCUUUUUACUCCAGAGAGAACUGGAAGGUGCUCACAAGCAGUAAAGUACCCGCUGACCCCCCUCGACAGCCUCCCGAGCGCCUCCGAAAGGCGGAUACCUUCCCCUGAACAUUUCCUGCUCUAACUUAGGUCAGUGGCUCUCAGAUUCUAAAAUGCACCUGGAUCACCUGGUGUCUUGUGAAAAUGCAGGUCCUGAGUUGCUAAUGAGGGUCCAGGGGUUCCGGUCGCUCCAUGGACCACACCCUGAACAGCAAGUGUCAGAGUUGUGACACUUCAGCCAGCGCCAGAAUCACCUGCAGUGUGGUCUGGAGUGGGGUUUGGGAGUGUACCUUUCUGACACGUGCCCAGGUGACACAGGUGCUGACGGUUCUGGGGCUGCACUUCGAGAAGCCUUGCCUGAGAUAAUCACGGAUGCUUGCUUUGAAGAAUGCCAAUCCAAAGGCUAAACGGUCUGCAUCCACAUGGAACAGAGGCAGUUCCACUCUAUUCUAGCCUACCCAUUUGCUCUGUCUUUACUACUUUACGGCAGAAAGGAACAGAUUAAAAAGUGAGUGUUCUGAAACACAAACUUACUACAUAGUAUUCCAGGAAAGCUAGGAGAAUAUGGCUCCAUGUAAGAAAGAGCAGGAAGCCAAUAAGAACAGUUUUAAAGGAAUCAAAGCCCCUUCCGAACCCUCACCACCUCUUAUUUGGUCUUGCAAUCCCACUGAUAAUUAUUUAACAAAGCUAUUUUAAAGAG
rnacentral:lncRNA from 1 species